AUUGAACGCUGGCGGCAGGCCUAACACAUGCAAGUCGAGCGGGAUUUACCUCCGGGUAAUGAGAGCGGCGGACGGGUGAGUAAUGCUUGGGAAUCUACCUAGUAGUGGGGGACAACAGUUGGAAACGACUGCUAAUACCGCAUACGCCCUACGGGGGAAAGGGGGGGAUCUUCGGACCUCUUGCUAUUAGAUGAGCCCAAGUCGGAUUAGCUAGUUGGUGGGGUAAAGGCCUACCAAGGCGACGAUCCGUAGCUGGUUUGAGAGGAUGAUCAGCCACACUGGGACUGAGACACGGCCCAGACUCCUACGGGAGGCAGCAGUGGGGAAUAUUGGACAAUGGGCGCAUGCCUGAUCCAGCCAUGCCGCGUGUGUGAAGAAGGCCCUAGGGUUGUAAAGCACUUUAAGUAGGGAGGAAGGUCUGGUAAUUAAUACUUAUCAGGAUUGACGUUACCUACAGAAUAAGCACCGGCUAACUACGUGCCAGCAGCCGCGGUAA
rnacentral:rRNA from 1 species